rnacentral:lncRNA from 1 species
AUACUGCCAAAAUUCAAAUAUGAAGCUAGAUGCACUCAAAAAUUAACUUAACUAAUGUUUCGAAACUGUUCCAAGAUUGUUGACAAGUAGGUGACUUAACCACCAAAAAUCGCAAAGUACAGCAUAAAUGUCACAAGAACCAUCUAACAUGAACUCCCUCUGCUUGAAUCGUUAAUUCAGUAAUGGCCAAAAUAUCCAACUCCAUGGCAAAUAGAUACCUAUAAUAGUUGAACAAGAUGCAUAUCAAUAUAUAUCUUAGAACAACUAUGCUAAUAGUUUGGAACAAUAGACGACAGAAGUAUCAAUGUUCAAAAAAGCGGUAAGCGUAAGCGGAGCGGAAGGCCACAGCUUAGAGCAACGGCCGCUUAAGCGCAGCUUAACCUGGAUUAAGCGGUUCUUUUAAUUUGCCAGAAUGUGGCCGUUUUUGAAUAAUAUGCCAAAAAAUAGGAAACAUAGCACAUAUAGAUAACUGAAAGUCUGAAAUAGCACAUAAGGAUAAGGUUUAGUGGUUCACACAGCAAGCAUAAAUGCAUAAUAAUGUUUUUAUAAGAUAAAUGGCAGCAGCUCAAGCGUAAGUGCGUCCAGUCACCAGUUCAUCUUUAUCAUCCUCAUCCUCGUACUCUAUCUCUUCCGCUGAAUCUGUCUCCUCUAGUUCUUCUUCGUCGGACUCAAACUCUUCAUCAUGGAGAUCUAUGGAUAAUGCAUCAAUGGAUCAGAGAAGGAGGAGAGGAGAGGACGAGAUCCUCAC